rnacentral:rRNA from 1 species
ACACAUGCCAGUCGAACGAGACCUUCGGGUCUAGUGGCGAACGGGUGCGUAACGCGUGGGGAUCUGCCGCUCGGUUCGGAAUAACUCAGGGAAACUUGAAAGCUAAUACCGUAUAUUGACUUCGGUCCAAAGAUUUAUUGCUGAGGGAUGAGCCUGCGUAGGAUUAGCUAGUUGGUGAGGUAAUGGCUGACCAAGGCGACGAUCCUUAGCUGGUCUGGAAGGAUGAUCAGCCACACUGGGACUGAGACACGGCCCAAACUCCUACGGGAGGCAGCAGUGGGGAAUAUUGGACAAUGGGCGAAAGCCUGAUCCAGCAAUGCCGCGUGAGUGAUGAAUUCCUCCGGCUUGUAAAGCUCUUUCGUCGAGUGCAAGAUAAAUGACAGGAAUUAAGGAAGAAGCCCCGGCUAACUCCGUGCCAGCAGCCGCGGUAAG